ACUGCCGUUCCAAGCGUGCUGUAUUUUUACCGUUUUCUACUAAUUUGCGAAGUGCUAUAUUAAAAUAAACUUUAAAAAAGUCAAAUAAAAGACGGUGACAAUUGCGGCGCAUAAUUCGUUUCGGUCCAUCACACGUAAAUCGGUGUUUAAAACGAAAUCUUAAUCUACGAAAAAUUAUGGCCUCCCUACUCCUUUUUCUUCGAAUUUAAACCGGCGUUUGCGUGUAGGAUCUAGGGACGCUACCAGUAAAUUUUGAUUUUGUUGUUAAAUUCAACCGUUAAACUAACAAAAACCGACGGGGAAGUGUUCGCAAAUUGGUCUUUUGGGUGUCGUGCCAAAUUUUAUCCUAAGAACAAGAAGAUGGCGUCCUAUUUUAAAUUUACUUUUUUUCGUUUAAAACUUAACGUUUUGUGAAUCUUUUUCGCUUUUGAAAUCAAGACGCCUAAGAUUUCAUGGAUAUGUUGAUUUGAGUUUUUGGCGAACGAGUAGUGCGCGGUUUGUGUGCAGUGUUUCAUCUCUACUUUGGUUGAUGGUUCUUCCCAGGAGAGACUGAAUUAUUGAGGCUAAAGGAUUGCAGAAAGGCGGCCUCAUAAGGUAUAGGAUUUUUCCUUUUCUGCAUGGGUGUAUUAGCAUGUCAUUUUUUGUACGGGGGGGAAAAGUGAAUAGUGAAUAUCAACCAGAAGGAAGACCGAUCAUUGUUCUGAGCAUGAGUUUCGUGUAAUAGCCCUAUGAAAGUUGAAAACAGUCUUCCCUGUCUGUCAUCCUGGUGACGAAAGAUUGACUGCAAUGAUUCUUAUGAUAGUCUUUUUCGCAUCAG